CUUAAUUUCGUGUUCAGAUUUUUUGUUGCAAGAAUAUAGAAACACAAUUUUUAAAUAUUAAUCUUGUAUCCUGCAAACUUGCUGAAGACAUUUAUUAGUUCUAAUAAUUUUUUAGUGGAUUCCUUAGGAUUCUCUAUAGAAGAUCAUGUCAUCUGUGAAGAGAGGGGAUUUUAAUUAUUUCUUUCAUAUCUGUAUCAGGGAAACAGUAUUCAUAUCUUAUGUCUGGAAGGUAGGUAUAUAAUUCAGACAUAUAAAAUGAUCUGGUAUUAUUUUGCUGCCUUUCUUAGAUGCUUUCUAAUCUCCUUUUACCUUAUUUGUAUGGCCUGUUUAGAGAUGCCUGCAUUUGUGAUAUUCACUGUUAUUCUCACAUUUUUUUUUCUGAACAAAGGUAUACCGUCCUAUACCAGAUAGGCCUCAUUCCAUCAAGCUCAAUGA
rnacentral:lncRNA from 1 species